ensembl:lncRNA
GGCCUCGGGCUCCUCAGGGCGCGCUCUGCACCGCGGGCUCCGGCUUGCACGUGUAACCUCGUAGGCUCGGACAGCCAGACACCGGGGUGUGUACCCGGCAGAGCGCACGGUGAGCGCUCAGAAAUAUGCAUCCUUCACCGUGCGGCUGACCAGCUCCCUUCCGGUAACAAGCCUCGGACUUCAGUUCCACGUAAACCCGGGCGCCGUGGCCAGCCUAGCUUUGUCCGACCCUGGCUUCAGCAGCAGAGGAAGCAAAUGAGGCCCUCUUCUUAUCCUGGGGACCCAGAUCAAGUCCAGGCAGCCCGAUCACCCCAGGCAGUCGCCGUCUGGAUGAGAAGGUGCAGCUCUCAAGCUUCUGAAGCUGUCAAGAAACAUCUUAAAGAAGGACCAACUUCUUCAACAGGCACAGACAAGACCUUUGGAUUUAGAGAGUGUUUGCCCCAAAUGGUUGUCUCAGACCUCCCGGGAGUCCUCUGACUCCUUUCAGAGGAGACCUCUGUGGCCCCUGAUGAGUCGGGGGCUGCGACAUUUCCUCAUGCAGGCCACCGGCCUGGGGCUCCUUCAUCCUUAGUCACACUCCUCACAUGUGCUCUUCGGUGCUUUUCUUAUUAUUUUUAUUGCACACGUUGGUACAAAUUGUGAUCUUAAUAAAAUAUAUAUAAUCCAAGUUGGGAAAGGGAACUGCCAUGUAGACCAUAAAGGGAAUUAAUUAUGCCAGGGAAUUAAGGUACAGACCAUUUUCUUCUGAAUAUUAAAAGAACGUAUUUUCAAAACUUCAGUCAGUUCUUUCUUCCGUGGUAGCUGAAAGUCAAUAGUGUCGUUAAGUUAGCUGCACUUUCAUAUUUAUUGAGAAACCGACCAAAAGGGCCAGCAUCUGUUGGGUUGCCCUGCUGGGUCGUUCUCCAGCCGGGCCUCCUGAGCUAACAUUUGGCAUCUGCAGGGGGCAUCUGGGCAGGUGUCCUAGACAGAGGCUGGUCGGGAACUGGCCAGAAGCCAGCCCUGCCGCGUGUUUACCCCUAGAGUUGCCUGUCACACACAGGGAUGUGCUUCGGAGACCUUUUAGCAGGACAGGCCUGGGCUUUGUCCUGACAAGUUUAUCACUGGUUUUUAAGCCUGAGCCAACAGAGGUGUUCAUUAUGGGGUUCAGUACAUUGUUUCUGAAGGGCGGUAAUUCUAAAUUAGAUAAAAGAAAACUGUUUUUCUAAUGCAUCGAUUAUUUUUAAAAAUAAAGCAAAAGUAUUUCACAUGGCAAAUGAUUCCUAAUCAAUGAUUAUGAGUGAUCUUACAUCUUUAGCUUUGUUGUUUGGAACUUUUGUCUUUGGUGGCUGGCCCCAUUCCAGAUGUGAGGGUGAUAUUUGUGCAGAGAGAAAGAGGAUGUGUCUGGUAUCUGACAGUUCUCACAGAGUUAACUGUAAAUUAAAUGAGGAUGUCUACCUGCAGAGGGGUGGGGCUUUUUUUUGAGACAGGGUCUAAAUCUGUCACUCAGGCUGGAGUGCAGUGAUAAAAUCACAGCUCACUGCAGCCUCCAACUCCUAGGCUCAAGUUUGCCUCAGCCUCCCGAGUAGCUUAGAGUACAGGCUGGCACCACCAUGCUUGGCUAAUUUUUAAAUUUUAUUUUGUAGAGAUGGGAUCUCACUUUGCUGCCCAGGAUGGUCUUGAACUCCUAGGCUCAAGCAAUCUUCCCUCUUCGGCCUCCCAAAGUGCUAGGAUUACAGGUGUAAGCCACCAUGCCUGGCCUGUACUUGAACCAUUAAGUAAAAUUGUUUUUGUCAGACUCUGAAUAAUACACACCCUCAUUUUCCCAUUGGAAAAAUCUCUCUCAAAACAUGCCAUUUAGGUGAGAUAUUCAAUCAGAGCCCCCCUCUAUCCUAGGGCACGCAAGCAAAGUAAACCAAUCAAUCCCUCCCCUUGAAUUUAAAUUCUUGCCGAAUGGGGCAAGUUGGGAUUAAUCGAGAAUGGAGCCAACCGUGAGCCCGUCACGAACCUCUUGUCAUCUCAAUCAACCUUGUUAUCUUAAUCACGUGAGUUUACCUGGAAAUAUCCUGAAGUCAGCUGGCUAAACUGUUCUUAAUUCUGUUAAGUAUUAAAUAUGUUUCCAACAAAGCCAGGCUUUCUCUAAUUAUCCAGCCAAUGAUCAAAGUGGUGUAAUAAUAGAGGAAACUUUAUUUUACAGAAGAGUGCAUAACAGCACUAUUACUUACCUUGCAUUGAGGCAGGAAGGACGCUUCAAGCAUGAAAAGAAGCAUGAAGUUUCUCAUCUUAGUGUUGAAAAGGGUCUUAUGUAGUUGAAGGUUUUGUCUUCCUACAGCCAGCAUUGAUUUAGGAUUCACAUUCAACUUACCUUCCAGUGCCUGCAGAAUGUGGUGUUAGGAUUUUUCCUUUUGCUUCUUUGUAGGUGAACUAUUUCUUCCAAGUGGAAUGCAUGAUCUUAGGCCAUGACUUUGUUUCUGUGCUCUCCGUUCUAUUUGAAAUGCCCGGAAGAGUGCAUGGGAGACACUCAAUGGAUAUAACUGAACAAAUGUGAGAAAAAAAAAAUGUUCUCUACUGUCUUUUCUAUUUGCAUUUGAAAAGCAAUUACAACAUUCUUGAUCAUUCUUAAUGUAGUGACCCAAAUUCUGCCCUUCGUGCCCCCAACAUUGUACUGAGAGCAACAAGAAAUAACCAGAUGAGUAAAGACCGUGUCAGAAGUUGGGGUCAGGGGAUGAGGAACCUGCCAGAGCUUUCCAGAUUUAUAAUCUCUUGGCUCCCAUGAGCUAAGAGAUGCAAUUUCCUCUCAGAUUUUCUAUAUAGCUCCUAAUUUUUUCAAGUAGGUCAGAAUUUUACCCUAGCAGAGAGUGGGGGAGAACUCUCGAUGUGUUCUCUACUCAUGAAAAUAAAACUGUGAGUUUCAGUACAAACACCUCUAUUAUACUGACGUGUAGGAGCCAUCUCUUUUCCAAUGCCAUAAUUUUAAUGCCAUGCAAAAAGCACAUUUUAAGAUGACGUAACUGGAAUGAAAAAACAACAAAAACAUGAAAUAAUAAAACCAUAAAAUAUAGCAGAACAAGAUCACGGGAAAGAAGCAAAAAUACACGGUCCUAUUGAGCUCCAGAUUCAUGUCGGAGCUCAGAGAAGCCCAGCAGAAGCGGUUCCUGGGAACGGAGAGUCAAGUGUGGCACAUGUGAGAGCAGCUGUCACUGCCAUGUGGCUCCCAAGACCAGGCUGGGCUAAGCCUUUACAGCUCUCUCUGGAGCCUUCUGCUCAGGCAGCCCCCUCUGGAGGGAAGCCUGGAGAGGAGAAGGAGGACAUGACUUGCUAAGUCCAGGAGGACAACCACAGUCCCUGCUGGCCAGUCCCUGCCCCUGCGAUCACCAGUGUUCCCAACGGGGCUGAGAACCAUCAGUGGAAGGGUGGGCUCUGGAGCUCACACCAUCCUGGGCGCUGGAGCAAUGGCAGAAUUGUGGGGAUGAAAGAGGCAAUGUGAGAAGGACAGUGAUGCCUCCUCUCAAAUUAAGCCUCGAGAUCAUAUUCGUGAAGAACUCUAAGCUAAGGACACAAAAUCAACGGGUUUAUGCUGGAGUCAUUCUAGAUGCAAUUAAAAUAGCAGAAUAAUAAAUACUCAAAAAGGCAAAUAAAUAGCAUCCACAUAAUUG